CUCCUCCAGACUCUGAAUCUCUGAUAGUGCUGAUCUCUGUUGCUGCUGGAUCUCUGGUGAUUGUGGUUGUAAUGGUGAUGUUUUGUAUCUGCUGGAAACACAGAGACUCAGUUCAUGAAGACGUAACUCAAGCUGCUGUAAAACUCUACAAACACACUGAACUGAUGAAGGAAUCUGAAGUGACUGAAGUGAUUUACACGUGUUUCGACACAGAACGAUGAUCAAACUCUGUGUGAUUCAGUU